rnacentral:rRNA from 1 species
UACGUAGGUGGCGAGCGUUGUCCGGAUUUACUGGGCGUAAAGGGAGCGUAGGCGGACUUUUAAGUGAGAUGUGAAAUACCCGGGCUUAACUUGGGUGCUGCAUUUCAAACUGGAAGUCUAGAGUGCAGGAGAGGAGAAUGGAAUUCCUAGUGUAGCGGUGAAAUGCGUAGAGAUUAGGAAGAACACCAGUGGCGAAGGCGAUUCUCUGGACUGUAACUGACGCUGAGGCUCGAAAGCGUGGGGAGCAAACAGGAUUAGAUACCCCCGUAGU